UUUGCCCCAAAUUAAUGACGGAGUACAUAUUAUGGAAAGAUAUUAAAUCUUUCCAUUUUUACUGCUUGAUGUCUUCUGCACCCCACAUCUUCAUUCUCUUAAUCUCUCCAUAUAUAUGAGUCAGGUGUUCGUAGCAACCAAAUCUUGUAGAGGUAGAAGAAGUAUUUCAAAUCGACAGUCAUCGAUAUCGUAGUAUGGACAAGCACGCGAUUCGCAUCCUUGCUCUAGCCCUGCUUCUACAUCUCACUUGCUAUGCUACUAUUGCGCAAUGCCGAAUCAUCGCCGACAUGGACAGCGAGAAGAUCAAUCUACCAAAUGGGUUGUGCGGCCUACAAAAGCUCUGCUCUGGUGAUAUUUGCUACUGUUGCCUAGCAAAUAAUACCUGCUACGGUUCUAUGGUUGUGUGCAAGAGUUUCUGUGGAUAACUAGUGGCGAUGAAAAUCACCCCUCCUUUACCUGCUCCUUUUCCAGCAUAGUCAGAUUGGCUUUCAUAUUUAUCCUUCCCAGCAUAUAACGCAUGAUGCAAGCAAAAACUGUUUGGAAUAAGAGUAUUACCCUAUGCUAA